UACUAGUUUGGCAGAUUAGUGCGGUAAAUUUAGGAUUUAUAUAGGUGAGAAGAUGUUCUUUUAAUUAGUAU
rnacentral:tRNA from 1 species